rnacentral:rRNA from 1 species
AGCUUGCUAGGUGGAUUAGUGGCGCACGGGUGAAUAACACGUGGGAAUCUACCCUUGAGUGCGGAAUAGCCCCUGGAAACGGGGAGUAAUACCGCAUAAUGUCUUCGGACCAAAGAUUUAUCGCUCAAGGAUGAGCCCGCGGUGCAUUAGGUAGUUGGUAGGGUAAUGGCCUACCAAGCCGACGAUGCAUAGCUGGUUUGAGAGGAUGAUCAGCCACACUGGAACUGAGACACGGUCCAGACUCCUACGGGAGGCAGCAGUGGGGAAUAUUGGACAAUGGGGGAAACCCUGAUCCAACCAUGCCGCGUGAGUGAAGAAGGCCUUAGGGUUGUAAAGCUCUUUCAGUAGUGAGGAGACUGACGGUAACUACAGAAGAAGCCCCGGCUAACUUCGUGCCAGCAGCCGCGGUAAUACGAAGGGGGCUAGCGUUGUUCGGAAUCACUGGGCGUAAAGCGCGCGUAGGCGGCCUGUCAAGUUGGGGGUGAAAGCCCAGGGCUCAACCCUGGAACUGCCUCCAAAACUGUCAGGCUAUAGUUCGGUAGGGGAUGGCGGAAUUCCUAGUGUAGAGGUGAAAUUCGUAGAUAUUAGGAGGAACACCAGUGGCGAAGGCGGCCAUCUGGCCCGAUACUGACGCUGAGGCGCGAAAGCGUGGGGAGCAAACAGGAUUAGAUACCCUGGUAGUCCACGCUGUAAACGAUGAGUGCUAGUUGUUGGAACCUCGAGUUUCAGUGACGUAGUUAACGCGUUAAGCACUCCGCCUGGGGAGUACGGUCGCAAGAUUAAAACUCAAAGGAAUUGACGGGGACCCGCACAAGCGGUGGAGCAUGUGGUUUAAUUCGAGGCAACGCGAAGAACCUUACCAGCUCUUGACAUCCUUCUCGCGGAUUUGGGAGACCAUUUCCUUCAGUUCGGCUGGAGAAGUGACAGGUGCUGCAUGGCAGUCGUCAGCUCGUGUCGUGAGAUGUUCGGUUAAGUCCGGCAACGAGCGCAACCCUCGCCUUUAGUUGCCAGCAUUUCGGAUGGGAACUCUAAAGGAACCGCCGGUGACAAACCGGAGGAAGGUGGGGAUGACGUCAAGUCGUCAUGGCCCUUACGGGCUGGGCUACACACGUGCUACAAUGGCGGUGACAAUGGGCAGCAAACCCGCGAGGGUGAGCAAAUCUCAAAAAACCGUCUCAGUUCGGAUUGUUCUCUGCAACUCGAGAGCAUGAAGUUGGAAUCGCUAGUAAUCGCGUAUCAGCAUGACGCGGUGAAUACGUUCCCGGGUCUUGUACACACCGCCCGUCACACCAUGGGAGUGGAUUCUACCCGAAGACAGUGAGCUAAC